ensembl:lncRNA
GGGGGGAAACAGCUCAGACUCAGGGCCGCUGCAGACACACUCAGAGGUUAUCAGCCUGCAGACUGAUCGCUGGGUAGGGACGUCGAUAGCUGGCACCAAACACGCACCUCAUUACCGAGGGGUUGGGAUUGUGUUCAAUGUUGUGUCGUGUUUACGUUCACCUGUGUUUCGGCGGUGACUUGUGUUCAGGAAUGGAUCUAACGGUGGUGAGGGUGUUUGACUCCCAGGAAAACGGUACUGGGUUCGAUUCCCAGUGUCCUUGUUCCUGUGAAUGACACACAUCUGAGUUCACUGUAAGUCGCUUUGAAAAAUUAAAAACGUCUGAAUCUAAAUAACCAGAGUUGCAGUUCUCUGGUUCCCAUCAUGUCCACUCGGCCCCCAUUGGUUCAGAGGUCAAAGGAAGAAAUCCCCUUACGCGACUGUUUUUACAGAAAGAAGAAGUAAAAAAACGGAAGCAAGUCCUCUCCUGUGGGAGGAAAACAUGAAAGGUCCCAAAUAUCCCCUCUCUGAAUAAUGAAUCCACCUGCUUGCCCGCCUCCAGUCAAGGAUCAAGGAUGACCCCCAUGUCUUAAACACCUGGUGUUGGAAAUCCUGAAGCUAAACCCAAUAAUCGAACAAACCGCCGUUUGCAGAGUCAGCUGAAACACUCCUCGUGCUCUUGUUGUGUAACUCGUCAGUUAUGUGAGAGACAUUUUACCAGCGCCGGCAAUGUAUGGUAUUUGAGUUGAGUGACCUUUGUAGAAAGGGAAUGGGCUUUCAAAGGUUCUAGUUUUACUGUAGGUCAUGGGGAGGUAAUACCCCUUCCUUAGGCACAUCUGCACAUCCAGGACUCAUCUGUCAUUACUUUGUUGGAGACACCAGGGCCAUGACACCCUCAGGCUACACCUUAAGGCUACACCUUUAUGCUACGUCUUUAGGCUGCACCUUAACGGCAACACCUUUAGGCUACACCUUUAGGCUACACCUUCAGGCUACAGAUUCAGGCUACAACUUCAGGCUAUUUCUAUAGUCUAUGCCUGGGUCCGGUAGAGAUGUAGUCUUUCUGUUUUCACUGUUUAACCGACAGGUCAUCAAGGAGCAGGUAGGGGUUGGACAGUGAAUACAGAGACAGGUCAUCAAGGAGCAGGUAGGGGUUAGACAGUGAAUACAGAGACAAGUCAUUAAGGAGCAGGUAGGGGUUAGACAGUGAAUACAGUGACAGAACAUCAAGGAGCUGGUUGGGGUCAGACAUCCUGCUUAAAGGAUACCUGAAAGGCUGUGGACAGUGGGAUGGAACACAAAACCUUUUUGAAAGCCCUAGUUACAACACUGUCCUGACGCAUAAGGUGAAUAUUGUUUUUUUUUCUCACCAAGCAAUCUGUGUGAAUGGAUGAAGGAAUGAAUGAACGUAACGCGGACAGACCAUAAUGACCAGCCUGCUCCAUAAAAGAUUUCAGGGUUUCCCUUUUUUCUGAAAUACUUACUGUUAGUGUGUACUUUAGCUUUUGUGACGCAGGGUGACUCAUGCUGUUGCCUAGCAACGUUAUGGUUGAGGGUUUGCCAACCGGUCGCCCCAGUGCGUGCCUCCAACAAAACCUCAAGCACAACUGAGCAGCCUGUGGGCACUUAGGGCUUGAGAGGAUAAAGAUUGAGAAUAACUAUAAUAAUAUUUGCCACUUCUUAGUGCUUGGCAACUGUACUGUUUGUUUGGCAUUUCUGAGAUGUUUUAAACUGUCUUGGGAGGGACUUAAGGGAGGAGAUCAGGAGGGUUUGAGUCAUUCUGUGCUGACCGUGUAGGAUGAGGCUGGGGCUGGGGCUGUGCAGUUUUAGGCCUGGGCACUAGAGAGCAGCAGUCCAAGACAGAAGGCAGUGAGUGGGUUUCAAUUCACUUGAAACUAUCCAUCUUCAUUCUCAGAGAGUCAUAGUUGUAUUAAUGGACCAAGAACUGAGAAUGAAUGAUUAUUUUGCAAUUUUUUCCCAACUUCUGUAAAAAUGUUGGGGAAAUAAUAAUGUAAUGUAAUGCAGUUCUAUUUCCCUUGCUACUUGUAAACAGGUGUGAAUCUCCUUAGUCCUUACACACCUGUGUGUAUCAAGAAGCAAAACCGUCCCUUUAACUGUCCUACCCAUUAGUGUUUUAACCCGGCCCCACGUGGAGGUACAAGGUACAUGAAGGGGCUUCCUCCCUUUGGUCCCGUCUGAUUCCCCUCCUUUGUUCUGAGUGAGUGUAAGCCAUGAAGUCAGAGUAAUGACGGUGUUAGCAUCAGCGCUAGGGGGCUUGUAGUCUCUCUUGUAGUCUCUCGCCCUUCUGAGGGCUAGCUGGCAACGCGCUACCUCACGGGGCCCCAGGGUGAACAGUGGAAGACAAAAGCAACAAGGCCCUUUGCUUCAGGAUGAGCCACGAGCCAGGAUUUACUGCCCAUAGCAAUUAGAGGGGGAGAGAGAGAGAGAGAGAGAGAGAGAGAGAGAGAGAGAGAGAGAGAGAGAGAGAGAGAGAGAGAGAGAGAGAGAGAGAGAGAGAGGGGGAG